rnacentral:rRNA from 1 species
CCUACGGGAGGCUGCAGUGAGGAAUAUUGGUCAAUGGACGAGAGUCUGAACCAGCCAAGUAGCGUGAAGGAUGACUGCCCUAUGGGUUGUAAACUUCUUUUAUAUGGGAAUAAAAUGUUCCACGUGUGGGAUUUUGUAUGUACCAUAUGAAUAAGGAUCGGCUAACUCCGUGCCAGCAGCCGCGGUAAUACGGAGGAUCCGAGCGUUAUCCGGAUUUAUUGGGUUUAAAGGGAGCGUAGGUGGAUUGUUAAGUCAGUUGUGAAAGUUUGCGGCUCAACCGUAAAAUUGCAGUUGAAACUGGCAGUCUUGAGUACAGUAGAGGUGGGCGGAAUUCGUGGUGUAGUGGUGAAAUGCUUAGAUAUCACGAAGAACUCCGAUUGCGAAGGCAGUUCACUGAACUGCAACUGACACUGAGGCUCGAAAGUGUGGGUAUCAAACAGGAUUAGAUACCCCAGUAGUC